rnacentral:rRNA from 1 species
AAUGAACGCUGGCGGCAGGCCUAACACAUGCAAGUCGAACGGGUCCUUCGGGACUAGUGGCGGACGGGUGAGUAACGCGUGGGAACGUGCCCCUUGGUACGGAAUAGCCCCGGGAAACUGGGAGUAAUACCGUAUGUGGUCGAGAGACGAAAGAUUUAUCGCCAAGGGAUCGGCCCGCGUUGGAUUAGGUAGUUGGUGGGGUAAUGGCCUACCAAGCCGACGAUCCAUAGCUGGUUUGAGAGGAUGAUCAGCCACACUGGGACUGAGACACGGCCCAGACUCCUACGGGAGGCAGCAGUGGGGAAUCUUAGACAAUGGGGGAAACCCUGAUCUAGCCAUGCCGCGUGAUCGAUGAAGGCCUUAGAGUUGUAAAGAUCUUUCAGGUGGGAAGAUAAUGACUGUACCACCAGAAGAAGCCCCGGCUAACUUCGUGCCAGCCGCCGCCGUAAGAC